rnacentral:rRNA from 1 species
AACGAACGCUGGCGGCAGGCUUAACACAUGCAAGUCGAACGCCCCGCAAGGGGAGUGGCAGACGGGUGAGUAACGCGUGGGAAUCUACCCAGUUCUGCGGAACAACAGUUGGAAACGACUGCUAAUACCGCAUACGCCCUACGGGGAAAGAUUUAUCGGAAUUGGAUGAGCCCGCGUAAGAUUAGCUAGUUGGUGAGGUA